CGAGUGGCGAACUGGUGAGUAACACGUGGGUAACCUUCCCUUGAAGUAGGGGAUAACACUUGGAAACAGGUGCUAAUACCGGAUAACAACCAAAACCACCUGGUUUUGGUUUAAAAGAUGGCUUCGGCUAUCACUUUAGGAUGGACCCGCGGCGUAUUAGCUUGUUGGUAAGGUAACGGCCUACCAAGGCAAUGAUACGUAGCCGACCUGAGAGGGUAAUCGGCCACAUUGGGACUGAGACACGGCCCAAACUCCUACGGGAGGCAGCAGUAGGGAAUCUUCCACAAUGGACGAAAGUCUGAUGGAGCAACGCCGCGUGAGUGAUGAAGGGUUUCGGCUCGUAAAACUCUGUUGUUGGAGAAGAACAGGUGUGAGAGUAACUGUUCACAUCUUGACGGUAUCCAACCAGAAAGCCACGGCUAACUACGUGCCAGCAGCCGCGGUAAUACGUAGGUGGCAAGCGUUGUCCGGAUUUAUUGGGCGUAAAGCGAGCGCAGGCGGUUUCUUAGGUCUGAUGUGAAAGCCUUCGGCUUAACCGGAGAAGUGCAUCGGAAACCAGGAGACUUGAGUGCAGAAGAGGACAGUGGAACUCCAUGUGUAGCGGUGAAAUGCGUAGAUAUAUGGAAGAACACCAGUGGCGAAGGCGGCUGUCUGGUCUGUAACUGACGCUGAGGCUCGAAAGCAUGGGUAGCGAACAGGAUUAGAUACCCUGGUAGUCCAUGCCGUAAACGAUGAGUGCUAAGUGUUGGAGGGU
rnacentral:rRNA from 1 species